GGACGAACCUCUGGUGUACCGGUUGUGACGCCAGUCGCAUCGCCGGGUAGCUAUGUUCGGAAGGGAUAACCGCUGAAAGCAUCUAAGCGGGAAGCCUACCUCAAGAUAAGAUUUCCCUAGGACUUUAUGUCCUCUAAAGAGCCGUUCGAGACUAGGACGUUGAUAGGUUGGAUGUGGAAGCAUAGUGAUAUGUGAAGCUGACCAAUACUAAUUGCUCGUGAGGCUUGACUAUACAACACCCAAGCAGUUG
rnacentral:rRNA from 1 species